UGAGAUGUUGGGUUAAGUCCCGCAACGAGCGCAACCCUCGUCCUAUGUUGCCAGCGGGUAACGCCGGGGACUCAUAGGAGACCGCCGGGGACAACUCGGAGGAAGGUGAGGAUGACGUCAAGUCAGCAUGCCCCUUACACCUAGGGCUGCACGCAUGCUACAAUGGUCGGUACAACGGGCAGCGAUCCCGCGAGGGUGAGCGAAUCCCUCAAAGCCGGCCCUAGUUCGGAUUGGAGUCUGCAACUCGACUCCAUGAAGCCGGAGUCGCUAGUAAUCGCGGAUCAGCAAAGCCGCGGUGAAUACGUUCUCGGGGAUUGUACACACCGCCCGUCACGUCACGAAAGUCGGCAACGCCCGAAGUCAGUGGCCUAACCCUUUAGGGAAGGAGCUGCCGAAGGUGGGGUCGGUGAUUGGGACGAAGUCGUAACAAGGUAGCCGUACGGGAACGUGCGGCUGGAUCACCUCCUUUCUAAGGAGCA
rnacentral:rRNA from 1 species